rnacentral:rRNA from 1 species
GACCUGGACGUGUGGUCCGCCUUCGGGUGUGUACUGCGCGGCCGGGCCUUACCCUCUCGGUGAGCCGGCAUGCCCUUCACUGGGUGUGUCGGGGAACCGGGACUUUUACUUUGAGAAAAUUAGAGUGUUCAAAGCAGGCAUGUUUGUCUGAAUACAUUAGCAUGGAAUAAUAGAAUAGGACAUGCGGUUCUAUUUUGUUGGUUUCUAGAGUCGCUGUA